ACAUGCAAGUCGAGGGGCAGCAUCAUUAAAGCUUGCUUUGAUGGAUGGCGACCGGCGCACGGGUGAGUAACACGUAUCCAACCUGCCGACAACACUGGGAUAGCCUUUCGAAAGAAAGAUUAAUACCGGAUGGCAUAGUCUUCCCGCAUGGGAUGACUAUUAAAGAAUUUCGGUUGUCGAUGGGGAUGCGUUCCAUUAGGCAGUUGGCGGGGUAACGGCCCACCAAACCAACGAUGGAUAGGGGUUCUGAGAGGAAGGUCCCCCACAUUGGAACUGAGACACGGUCCAAACUCCUACGGGAGGCAGCAGUGAGGAAUAUUGGUCAAUGGACGAGAGUCUGAACCAGCCAAGUAGCGUGAAGGAUGACUGCCCUAUGGGUUGUAAACUUCUUUUAUACGGGAAUAAAGUGAGCCACGUGUGGCUUUUUGUAUGUACCGUAUGAAUAAGGAUCGGCUAACUCCGUGCCAGCAGCCGCGGUAAUACGGAGGAUCCGAGCGUUAUCCGGAUUUAUUGGGUUUAAAGGGAGCGUAGGCGGGUUGUUAAGUCAGUUGUGAAAGUUUGCGGCUCAACCGUAAAAUUGCAGUUGAUACUGGCGACCUUGAGUGCAACAGAGGUAGGCGGAAUUCGUGGUGUAGCGGUGAAAUGCUUAGAUAUCACGAAGAACUCCGAUUGCGAAGGCAGCUUACUGGAUUGUAACUGACGCUGAUGCUCGAAAGUGUGGGUAUCAAACAGGAUUAGAUACCCUGGUAGUCCACACAGUGAACGAUGAAUACUCGCUGUUGGCGAUAUACGGUCAGCGGCCAAGCGAAAGCAUUAAGUAUUCCACCUGGGGAGUACGCCGGCAACGGUGAAACUCAAAGGAAUUGACGGGGGCCCGCAC
rnacentral:rRNA from 1 species